GGACACAAGUGCAGCUGAUGUGACAGUUUAUUGUGGCAACGUUUCACUCACCAGAAGCUUUGACAAGCCGUUAUGUAGCAGCUUGACAAAAUUCCUGGAGAGCGAAAUGUUGCCGCAAUAAAAUGUCACGUCACAUUAGCCGCACUUGUGUCUUUUUACCUAACAUACUGUUGUGAAAGCUAAGUGAUUUACGCUGUCAAAGACUUUUUAGAUUUUUGUCACUGAAGUGGCUAGUUUAUUAUGCAUCCUGCGGAGGGUAACUCGGUCAAAUUGCUUAGUAAACGUCACAACUGCUACUGUUACUACUAAUUAAGUUGCAGCUGUGUUCUGCUCUGCUACAGACACUUGUGUACAGCAGUUGCCGAACUCUGGGGAAAAUACUCAGUGAAGUCUCUGGGGACUUAAGUAACUACAAGCCCAUCAAGUCUUCCAUAUAUCUUGCAACAGUAGAUCAAUGUACAGCCUUCACUCUCAUGGUUGUGAGAACAUCAACAAUCACCAUCCCAGAGACACCAUCACAUCGUGGUAAGAAAAAUAUUUUGUA